rnacentral:rRNA from 1 species
GAUCAUGGCUCAGGAUGAACGCUGGCGGCGUGCUUAACACAUGCAAGUCGAACGAAGCACUUUGAGAUCUUCGGAUGGAUGAGUGACUGAGUGGCGGACGGGUGAGUAACGCGUGGGUAACCUGCCUCAUACAGGGGGAUAACAGUUAGAAAUGACUGCUAAUACCGCAUAAGCGCACAGUGUCGCAUGACACAGUGUGAAAAACUCCGGUGGUAUGAGAUGGACCCGCGUCUGAUUAGGUAGUUGGUGAGGUAACGGCCCACCAAGCCGACGAUCAGUAGCCGACCUGAGAGGGUGAUCGGCCACAUUGGGACUGAGAUACGGCCCAGACUCCUACGGGAGGCAGCAGUGGGGAAUAUUGGGCAAUGGGCGAAAGCCUGACCCAGCAAUGCCGCGUGAAGGAAGAAGGCCUUCGGGUUGUAAACUUCUUUUACCGAGGACGAACAAAUGACGGUACUCGGCGAAUAAGCUCCGGCUAACUACGUG